rnacentral:misc_RNA from 1 species
GAUGAAGAACGCAGCGAAAUGCGAUAAGUAGUGUGAAUUGCAGAAUUCAGUGAAUCAUCGAAUCUUUGAACGCACAUUGCGGCCAUAGGUAUUCCUUUGGCCAUGCCUGUUCGAGCGUCAUUUACACCCUCAAGCCUAGCUUGGUGUUGGGCGUCUGUCCCGCCGUUUUCGCGCGCGGACUCGCCUCAAAGUCAUUGGCGGCGGUCGUGCCGGCCCCCUCGCGCAGCACAUUUGCGCUUCUCGGAGGCCCGGCGGAUCCGCGCUCCAGCAAGACCUUUCACGACUUGACCUCGGAUCAGGUAGGGAUACCCGCUGAACUUAAGCAUAUCAAUAAGGGAGGA